UUAAGGGGAAAGCUGGUAUGCUGGUUUAGAACUCUGGUAGUGUGUGUAUGUGUUCUCCUUGAGAGCUUGCCUUUAGAAACACUUCAACUCCAGAGCUUGAGGUUUCCUUGGUGGUCAUAGUUGCAGUCCUGGGAUCUUGCUUCCUCUUUGGCUGGAGAUUUUUCGUAGCAAGCUUUAGUUCGUGGGAUUUGAUGAACCCGACCUUGUAGCUCGGAGCCUGUACAUCUCCAUUCCUGGCUCGCCCAGUUAGGAGGAGUAAGUUCUGCGUGUGCACAUGAUUUCUGUAGUAGCGCUACCCCCCGACUGCGGUCGAAGAUCUGGCUUCGGCUGUUGAUAUUCUGUUCUGUUCUGUUCCGACUUCACAGUCGAUGAUCCAGCCUCGUGCUGUCGAUGUCUGUUACUAGCCAGGGAGAUGUAAAUGUUUGUUCUGCAUGUUUUUCAUACUUUGGAUUAUUUUUGUAUUCUGCGUAUUUUUUGCAUUAUGUACGAAUUAUAAUCUUUUAUUCUGCAAUAUCUGAUAUAUCUGUUGUUUCCGCGAUCC